ensembl:lncRNA
CAACUGUAGAAGAAGAACUGCAUACCGCAAGGCAUUCUUCCCAAUAUCUGAGCCUGCAUUUCUGAGAAAUCUGAGAUUUCAUUAAGAAGACAUCAGUUUUUAUUCAAAUGUAGUUACAGUCUUGUCGUGUUCAAAUCCUCUGCAAAGGAAAGUGUCCAUCGUGCCAGAGAGAGCCACAGCAACGCAGGUUUCAAUGGACAGAUGGAAGGCAGCCAUCAUCUGCACUGGUGUGGAAAUGUGUCUUACAAGGUCUCAGGAAGUUCCUGCUGUAAUGGUAAUAUAACUCUGGGAUUAAGCCAGCUGGUGGCUGACUGCUGUGGUUCUGUAGCUUACAAUCCACUUAAUGAGAUUUGCUGUAAUGGCAGUAUUCUGACUCGAAGCAGCACUUACGCGAAAUGCUGUGGCAAAGACAUGUACUUGACAACGACUCAUGUGUGUUGUGGUAAAAACAACAUAUUUCAAUGGAAGGAAAAUCAUUCUUGUUGUGGCGAGAAAACAUAUGACGAGACAAUCCACUGCUGCUGUAGUAACCCUACACCAGUAGUAAAGCAUAAAAAUGAAACUUGCUGUCUAAAAGCAAAAGAUCAUGAUAAAAAAACAGAACACCAGCCAGGCUCUCCUCCAACUCGCCCUCUGCCCAUAUUAUCAGACUUGAUUUGUGGAUCAGAAACCUACAAUCCCCAUAAACAAAUGUGUUGCUCAGGGAAUCUGUAUAAGGCAUCAGCACUUACUAAGUGCUGUGGUGGAGAUGCUUACACUCUGUCAGAUGACAAUGUGCUGUGCUGUAAUGGAAUCCUUCAUCUCAAUGUGCCUGAGCAGUCUGAGUGUGUUGGAGGUGUUAUAUAUACUCCAGCAAACACUACUUGCCAAAUGUCGACCCGUCCUCGUCUUGGAGAGCACUGCUGUGGAGGACAAACCUUCAAUCCUCGCACGCAUAUUUGCUGUAAUGGUCACAGGUAGGCCCACAGAUUACAAAGAUUUAAAAGUGCACUUAGUACUUUUUUGCUCAUGUUUUAAAUAAUUUUAUUAUAUUUUGAUUCAUUUUGCAAUCAUCCAAACCUUGACCCUUGAUCUUAAAGGGGUCAUUGGAUGCCCAUUUUCCACAAGUUGAUAUGAUUUUUUAGGGUCUUAAUGAAAAGUCAACUUGGAACCCACGUUUUCCCAUGGUCAUCAAACCGCGACCCACAAUUAUGUAGGCCUAUAUAUUGUCGUCAUUUGUAAGUCGCUUUGGAUAAAUGCGUCUGCUUAAUGACUAAAUGUGUGUAUCUUUUGAAAAACAAAAACAAAGCAAAUUUAUUUCAUAAAAAUUAAGUCAAGACUGUUAAGAAUAUGACUAAUACUGAAUAAACAACCUAUAAGGUAAGGCUAUUAGCAGUCCCAACUAGUUUUUGUUAAUAAAGUUAAGUUGGUAUGAGCCACCACCGUCAUUCAAACAUAUACAAAAUGAGACAAAGUGAAAAUAAAAUGGUAUUUUGGGGUUAUGGAAAGAACAGUUACUAUGGUGAAUAUACAAUACUAACAUGAACUGUUAAUGAAAUGUGGAAACUGCUACUGAAUAGAAUGAAUAUCAUACCUUCAUGCAAAUCCUUCCCAGCUAACACACGCAGUACCAGUUAUGAGAUUUAUCAGUACUGUACUUUUAUUUCACACGUUGUAUGCUCGUAGUUUCUGCACUUUAGUGAAGUGAUUUACAGCAAGGCGCCACGUUCGCACGUGAUAUAGAAGAGUGCGCGCUACGAACACAGUAUAACAUCUGACAGGACAGGAUAGUUUGCUUUUCUGAGGUGAAAGCUGUUUUUAUUUAAUAACAAGUUACGAAAAUAAUAAUAGAAUACAGAAGUGUCAACAGCUUCAUGCAUGUCUUUUAAAAUAAAAGUCUCGUAUCAGAAAAACAUUUAGAAUUACGUUUUUUGUUGCUGAUGUUAUUUCUUUGGCCGUACACUCCGCGACCCACUCA